rnacentral:piRNA from 1 species
UAUUUUUAUUUGUUUCAAUACUGAAGGGGC